rnacentral:rRNA from 1 species
UACGUAGGGUGCGAGCGUUGUUCGGAAUCAUUGGGCGUAAAGCGCGUGUAGGCGGUUUGUUAAGUCUGGUGUGAAAGCCCGGGGCCUAACCCCGGAAGUGCACUGGAUACUGGCAAACUAGAGGGUGAGAGAGGAAAGUGGAAUUCCUGGUGUAGGGGUGAAAUCCGUAGAUAUCAGGAGGGACAUCGGUUGCGAAGGCGGCUUUCUGGCUCAUUUCUGACGCUGAGACGCGAAAGCGUGGGGAGCAAACAGG